rnacentral:rRNA from 1 species
CCUACGGGCGACAGCAGUGAGGAAUAUUGGUCAAUGGGCGCGAGCCUGAACCAGCCAAGUCGCGUGAGGGAGGACGGCCCUACGGGUUGUAAACCUCUUUUGCCGGGGAGCAACGGGCGUCACGUGUGGCGCCACUGAGAGUACCCGGCGAAAAAGCAUCGGCUAACUCCGUGCCAGCAGCCGCGGUAAUACGGGGGAUGCGAGCGUUAUCCGGAUUUAUUGGGUUAAAGGGGUGCGUAGGCGGAUCGUUAAGUCAGUGGUCAAAUUGAGGGGCUCAACCCCUUCCCGCCAUUGAAACUGGCGAUCUUGAGUGGAAGAGAAGUAUGCGGAAUGCGUGGUGUAGCGGUGAAAUGCAUAGAUAUCACGCAGAACCCCGAUUGCGAAGGCAGCAUGCCGGCUUCCGACUGACGCUGAAGCACGAAAGCGUGGGGAUCGAACAGGAUUAGAUACCCCAGUAGUC